CUGAAAGCUUAGCUGUGCAUCAGAGAGCUGCAGAGCUGGAUGUGAGGAUGAAGCGCUCUUUGCUCUGCAUGCUGGAGUUAUUCUUGCUCAGUACACUCUUCGAUGUAAAUGCUGAAGAUAGACCCAGGGCCACGCUGACAGCAGGAACCACAAUCAUACCAGUAGGGGGCAGUGUGACACUGACCUGCUCUG